rnacentral:rRNA from 1 species
AGCAGCCGCGGUAAUUCCAGCUCCAAUAGCGUAUAUUAAAGUUGUUGCAGUUAAAAAGCUCGUAGUUGAAUUUCGGGAUCAAUAUGUUGGUCGUGCCUUGGUACGUACUAAUUUAUUGGUUUCUUCCUUCUGACGAACCAUGAUGUCAUUAAUUUGGUGUCUUGGGGAAUCAGGACUGUUACUUUGAAAAAAUUAGAGUGUUUAAAGCAGGCUCACGCUUGAAUACAUUAGCAUGGAAUAAUGAAAUAGGAUGUUUGAUUCUAUUUUGUUGGUUUCUAGGAUCGACGUAAUGAUUAAUAGGGAUAGUUGGGGGCAUUAGUAUUCAAUUGUCAGAGGUGAAAUUCUUGGAUUUAUUGAAGACUAACUACUGCGAAAGCAUUUGCCAAGGAUGUUUUCAUUAAUCAAGAACGAAAGUUAGGGGAUCGAAGACGAUCAGAUACCGUCGUAGUC